UGAGAGCUCUGCAGUCUCUGGGCGAAAAAAAGCUUUUUUUGUGAGUGGUCAGGCAGGGAACACUGACACUGGAGCGCGCAUGCACGAGACGACUCCAUGUUUUUCUUUCUCUCUUUGAACGAAUACAACGUCGCCCGGUUGGAAUAUUAUCGCUAUUUUACGAGAAAAAUCGCAGAAAAAUGGAUUUUAAACAGCGUUUGACAUGCUUCGAAGUACGGUAAUGGAAUAUUUUGAAUUUUUGUCACGAAAUGCGCCCGCGCGUCACCCUUCGGAUACUGACCUCAACGCACGAACAAAACGGAGCUAUUUCAAUAUAACUAUGGAUUAUUUCGAACCAAAACAACAUUUGUUGUUGAAGUAGAAGUCCUGGGAGUGCAUUCUGACGAAGAACAGCAAAGGUCCCGUCUUCUCCUCUGCUGUGAUGGUAGGAUGGGAGCGUCAUGGGGAUGUCAUCCAGACAGGACAGACCUAUCUGCUGCCUUUGAUAUUGUGAACCAUCAGAUCCUCCUCUCCACCCUCUCCGAGUUGGGUAUCUCCAGCGCGGCUCACUCUUGGAUUGCGUCCUACCUGACAGGGCACUCCUACCAGGUGGCGAAUCGCAUCUCUGCAUGUCUGGCAGACAUAUCAGUGUGGAUGACGGAUCACCACCUCAAGCUGAACCUCGGCAAGACGGAUCUGCUCUUCCUCCCGGGGAAGGACUGCCCGUUCCAUGAUCUCGCCAUCACGGUUGACAACUCCAUUGUGUCCUCCUCCCAGAGUGCUAAGAGCCUUGGCGUGACCCUGGACAACACCCUGUCGUUCUCCGCUAACAUCAAGGCGGUGACCCGAUCCUGUAGGUUCAUGCUAUACAACAUUCGCAGAGUACGACUCUGCCUUACACAGGAAGCGGCGCAGGUCCUAAUCCAGUCAUCUCCCGUCUGGAUUACUGCAACUCCCUGUUGGCGGGGCUCCCUGCCUGUGCCAUUAAACCCCUACAACUCAUCCAGAACGCCGCAGCCCGUCUGUGUUCAACCUUCCCAAGUUCUCUCACGUCACCCCGCUCCUCCGCACACUCCACUGGCUUCCAGUUGAAGCUCGCAUCUGCUACAAGACCAUGGUGCUUGCCUACGGUACUGUGAGGGGAACGACACCUCCGUACCUUCAGGCUCUGAUCAGGCCCUACACCCAAACAAGGGCACUGCGUUCAUCCACCUCUGGCCUGCUGGCCCCCCUACCUCUGCGGAAGCACAGUUCCCGCUCAG
rnacentral:lncRNA from 1 species